AGUGAACGCUGGCGGCAGGCCUAACACAUGCAAGUCGAACGGCAGCACAGCCGGGGCAACCCGGUGGGUGGCGAGUGGCGGACGGGUGAGGAAUACAUGGGAAUCUGCCCUGUCGUGGGGGAUAACGUAGGGAAACUUACGCUAAUACCGCAUACGACCGGAAGGUGAAAGCGGCGGACCGCAAGGCGUCGCGCGACUGGAUGAGCCCAUGUCGGAUUAGCUAGUUGGCGGGGUAAAGGCCCACCAAGGCGACGAUCCGUAGCUGGUCUGAGAGGAUGAUCAGCCACACUGGAACUGAGACACGGUCCAGACUCCUACGGGAGGCAGCAGUGGGGAAUAUCGGACGAUGGGCGCAAGCCUGAUCCAGCCAUGCCGCGUGAGUGAAGAAGGCCUUCGGGUUGUAAAGCUCUUUUGUCCGGAAAGAAAAGCCUUCGGUUAAUACCCGGGGGUGAUGACGGUACCGGAAGAAUAAGCACCGGCUAACUUCGUGCCAGCCGCCGCUGUAACAC
rnacentral:rRNA from 1 species